UACGUAGGGGGCAAGCGUUGUCCGGAUUUAUUGGGCGUAAAGAGCUCGUAGGUGGUUCGGUAAGUCGGAUGUGAAAUCUCCGGGCUCAACCUGGAGGGGUCAUUCGAUACUGCCGUGACUAGAGGUCGGUAGGGGAGUGUGGAAUUCCUGGUGGAGCGGUGAAAUGCGCAGAUAUCAGGAGGAACACCCGUAGCGAAGGCGGCACUCUGGGCCGAUACUGACACUGAGGAGCGAAAGCGUGGGGAGCGAACAGG
rnacentral:rRNA from 1 species